GUAAGUGUUUAAACGCUUUAAAUUGAAUUUAUGUUUUUUUUUUAUAACGUGAAGCAAGAAUGCACAUGGGUUUGAUUAACAGCAUCUACUCGUGUCUUAGACGUUUGCAGUAUUUCUGACUGAAGCGGUGGCUUUUCAACUGCUGCACAUUUAAAUAUCAGUUGCUCAAGUGAGUCAUGUUGAGUUCACAACCAAUUAUUGUGUCAGCGUUAAUAACGUUGAUAGAGGCCUGACAGGAUCGCUUUGAUGGAGCCACUUUUUUAGAAAAUGUGAAGUCCCGGCAUCAUCACAGACCACAACCCCCUGUUCCCAUCUACGAGGAAAUGACCUGCAAGCAGCGCAGUCCGGUGGCCCCCAAAAAUAACCCUGAGGCCCCCUCACACCUGGAGGAAGUAAACUUCCCCGCGUACGCCAACACGGACAUCCGGCAGCCACAGGACAACUACUACGCAUGUCCCAGGCAGCUCGCCCUCAGGGCCUGAGGUGACUCGGUGGAGCAGAUGUCAACAGGAUGUGACAUCAGCGCCUCUGCAAACACACGAUGAGACGCUCAGGAUAUAUAUAUAUAUAUAUAUAUAUAUAUAUAUAUAUAUAUAUA
ensembl:lncRNA